rnacentral:lncRNA from 1 species
ACCACAUGAUAUUUUCCUGUGCUUUGUCCUCAUUCACACGGUUCGGACAAUCACUUUCCAGAAAGUCACUCAUCCUGAAUUUGCUGCAUCCCAAACAUGCUUAGCUUUGAAGUUCUCUUCAACGUUUGAUCGAAAAGAUAAAUGCACUUUGGUGACAUAGAUUGCCAAAUCAAUUAUUUUAAGGGCUUAUUGUUAAAAUAGAAAUAAUUUUAUUAAAAACUCUGAUUUUAGGCACAUUGAGAGUGUGCUUCAAAAAAAGGGACUUUGGGCUUUGGAAUUUGACAAUUUUACCCCUUUCAUCUGAGCUUCUCUUUCCUCCUUCAUCUUCGCAGCUUCUUCUCCACAAUCCAACUUUUCUGCAAAAAAAAAAUCUGUUAUCCCAAAAAUCUUUUAUAGUUGCAAUUCCCCAUUGAUUCAAGAUUACUAAACCCUAAAGAUGAUACUAUACAGGGAACCCAAGUAAAAAAAUCAAGCAGACUUUAUACGUUUUAGAUGUGUACAUAGUGAACUGGUUCCUCUCGAUUGCGUUUACAGAAACUAAUCCCUAAGAGAACUAGUAAAUAUGGAACCUAAGGGGAAAAUCAAAUGAAUUGUUUGUAAUCCCUUUUGAUUACUUUGUAAUUGUUAAUUGUUUACAAAGUAAUCAAAAGGGAUUAAUUAGAAAUUGAGAAGCUUUAGGUGUUUUGUUGUCUGGAUUUCAAAAUUGAAAUCAUCUUGUGAAUGGAUUUUAAGGGAAACCCAAUCAGAAACUUAACCCUAAGGAUGUUGAAAGGGAACCCAAGAAAAAAAAUCAAACGAACAAUGGUAAAUGUUUCAGAUGCAAUCGUAAAUAUUUUUUUAAAAUUGAAUUAUUUAGCAAAGCAUAACAAUUCACCUCUAUUUGUAAUCGGGAAUAGCAAAUCCACUAUGAAACCCCAAUCUUCAUCUUCUAUAAGUGUGGCAAAGUAAUUUGGCUGUAUGUGAUAAGCUAUGAAUGCAAAUCUCACUUUUUUUUAAUUAAAAGAAAGGGAUUGAUACUGACGAAGUAGAUCAACGGAUAAGCUUAGGUUUUUUUAUGAAUCAGAGAAAUUCUUCGUCGGUGUUGAUGCGUAACAGAGGGAAGGCAAAAAUUGAACUAUGCAAUUAACUGGAAGUAGAGAUAGAAGACGAUGAAUAAAUUUGAAC